rnacentral:lncRNA from 1 species
CCACAGGCCACAGAAUUUAGAUCUUCAUUUGCUUUUGUGAAAAAUGGAGAGUCAAGACCAGGGGCAUUUGAAAACACAGCUAGCAUCUUGUUUGCUCAGUAAUAGGAGAGCUGUACCAUUGCAUAUGUAACUUUGAGGGAAAGUAUAGGAAGAAAGAGUUAACCAUGCAAUACUUUGCAACUACAGCAUUGUGACAAGACCACCACCAUGCUCAGAAGGGCAUCAGCAAUUGCACAGGAGGAAACCUAGCGAUGCGCCAGCUCAUCAGAGGUCAUGUCAGGAAUGGGAAAAGAGAAAGAAAUAAGGAGACAUGUUUGGAAGAAGACAGACUGAAUGUGGCAGGGCCCUCAGUUGGAACAACUCCCGUUCUUUUCGUCCACCCACACCAGUUUCUGGCAAAUGGGAAGGCCACCUACAGCUCUGUACAUUGGAAAUGUUCAUUACCAAGAAAAAUGGGUCAAUCAAAUAAAGACAAUGUGGGAGGGAAAGGAAAUGAUACCUGGACAGUGCCUGUUAUUUUAUUAUAUGCAUUAUGCACUUUAACUUCAUUAUCCCACUUAAUAAUCCUUAUAACCACCCUCUGGUGCAUUGUUUCAUUUUUAUCCUCAUUUUACAAAGAAUAAAAAAAUGAAACACAAAGAAAUUAAGUGCUUUUCUUCAUCUGGCUCAGUUAGUAAGCUGCAGAAAUGUCCUUUAGUCUCGGUCUUGCUAGAUGAGUUUAGGACUAAUUCUUCUUCCUUUCCAAGUCCAUAUUCUCAUUCUUUUCUCAACACUGACCUGCAACACUUCCAUCCCCUUCUUGCAAGAAACUGCAACACUACACCAUGACCUGGGUAGUUUGAACACCAAAAUUUUGUUUUCUCACAGUUCUGCAGGCCAAAAGUCCAAGAUCAGAACUUCAGAAUAGUCAGACUCCAAGGGAUGCUCUCUUCUUGGCUUAGAAACAGUUCCGAUGGCUCUUCCUCUUCUUACAGGGCACCGGGUCUGCUGACUCAGGGCUUCUCUUUUCAGUCUCCAUUUCACCUUAAUCAUCUUUUAGAGGCCUUUUCUCCAAUAUCAUCACUCACAUGAAAGGUUGGAACUUCAACAGGAAUUUUGAUGGACACGAUGCGGUUCAUCGCAGCCUCUAUAGAAAAAGUUGGCCACUCCUGACCUUCCAGUCCACUGCCCACCUGUACAGUGCAGAUGUUUCACUGGCAUGUUGUUCAACGCCC